rnacentral:rRNA from 1 species
AUUGAACGCUGGCGGCAUGCCUUACACAUGCAAGUCGAACGGCAGCACGGGAGCAAUCCUGGUGGCGAGUGGCGAACGGGUGAGUAAUAUAUCGGAACGUGCCCAGUCGUGGGGAUAACGUAGCGAAAGCUACGCUAAUACCGCAUACGAUCUAUGGAUGAAAGCGGGGGAUCGCAAGACCUCGCGCGAUUGGAGCGGCCGAUAUCAGAUUAGGUAGUUGGUGAGGUAAAGGCUCACCAAGCCGACGAUCUGUAGCUGGUCUGAGAGGACGACCAGCCACACUGGGACUGAGACACGGCCCAGACUCCUACGGAGGCAGCAGUGGGGAAUUUUUGGGACAAUGGGCGCAAGCCUGAUCCAGCAAUGCCNCGUGCAGGAUGAAGCCUUCGG